rnacentral:rRNA from 1 species
CUACGGAGGGUGCAAGCGUUGUUCGGAAUUACUGGGCGUAAAGCGCGCGUAGGUGGUCUGUUAUGUCAGAUGUGAAAGUCCACGGCUCAACCGUGGAAGUGCAUUUGAAACUGGCAGACUUGAGUACUGGAGGGGGUAGUGGAAUUCCCGGUGUAGAGGUGAAAUUCGUAGAUAUCGGGAGGAAUACCGGUGGCGAAGGCGACUACCUGGCCAGAUACUGACACUGAGGUGCGAAAGCGUGGGGAGCGAACAGGAUUAGAAACCCCUGUAGUCC